rnacentral:rRNA from 1 species
UCGGGAAUUUUGGGCAAUGGGCGAAAGCCUGACCCAGCAACGCCGCGUGAAGGAUGAAAUCCCUCGGGAUGUAAACUUCGCAAGAACAGGAAGAAUAAGUCGGUGCUAACACCAUCGGCGAUGACGGUACUGUUUGUAAGCUCCGGCUAACUCCGUGCCAGCAGCCGCGGUAAUACGGGGGGAGCAAGCGUUGUUCGGAUUUACUGGGCGUAAAGGGCGCGUAGGCGGCCACCGCAAGUCGACUGUGAAAUCUCCGGGCUUAACUCGGAAAGGUCAGCCGAUACUGCGGGGCUAGAGUGCAGAAGGGGCAACUGGAAUUCUCGGUGUAGCGGUGAAAUGCGUAGAUAUCGAGAGGAACACCUGCGGCGAAGGCGGGUUGCUGGGCUGACACUGACGCUGAUUGUGCGAAAGCUAGGGGAGCGAACGGGAUUAGAUACCCCUGUAGUCC